ACCUGAGUUGAAGUCGGACGCUUAACAGACUGAGCCACCCAGUUCUUUCUAGUCACUGGAAUUCUUUCAAAGAAGCAGUUGUAUGAAAUGGAAGACGACGGUAUAUUGAAGCAAACUGGAGAGAGGAUAAGGAUUGUCAGUGUUCCUCUCACGUGGCCCUUGAAGUCUUGGCCGACAAGAUCAUGAAUCUUGGUGUCACAGCACCUAUGCUGACUGCACACAGCUUGCUGAAGAUGUUGGUGCCACUCUCUGAGCAUUUGGGAAGGCAAUGCUGAGACGUGUCUGGUCCUACAUCUGCAAUCGUCUGAGAUCCAGACUUAGACACCCAGCAUGGUUGUCUAGGACACUAGUUUUUGAAGCUAUUGUUUUAAUCUCAUUAUGAAAAGAAGAAAUUAUGCUACUUUACUCCUUGUACAUCCGUGUUUUACGAGGCUCUCAGACUAUUAUCCUCCUAAAGUUCAGCCUGCUGACAUACCAACAAAUGGUAGGAUUUAGCUUUACACCAACUGAUUACCUUAAGAAUGGGAAAGGGCUCAGGAUCAUGUCUCACUCUGAGUUCAAAAAUUAGGCAGUAAUUUACAUUCUUGAAGUAUCAUUGAAAUCCUUGCAACAGAUGUCUUUUCUCCCAAAAUUGAAUAGAUGUGGUUAGAACCAUCCUUGUUCCUUUACUCAGGGCUGUCUGUGGUCAGUGGCAAACAGUUUAAUAUAGAUCCUAAUGGUAGAGACAACAUCGGUUAGUUUUUGUACAGGAUCCUGUCUUCUUAUUCAUUGUUGUAUCUUCAGAAUGAAUUAAUAUGUAAAUCUUAGGCUGUAUAGUAAUCAGUUCAUUCAUUUGAUUCAACAAAUAUUUAUUGAGAGCCUACCAUGUGCCAAGUACUAUUUGAGAUAUUUGGAAUACAUUAUUAAGACACUUGUCCUUGAAGAGAUUACAUUUUGGAAGGAAUGGAGGAACAGGCAAUAAACAUAACAAAGUAUAAAUAUUGUCAGAAGAUAUUAAAUUCCACAAGGAAUAAAACGAUAAGUCAGCAGGAUAAGGAGGAUCAGAGGAAGGGAUACAAGCAAGUUGAGAUACAACAACUUGAAGGCAGUGAAAGAGUUGGCCAAGCGAACACCUGGAAAAGGGCACUCCAAGCAGAUGGCACAGCCACCAGAGAAUAAUUUGGGUCUCAGAUAGUCAAGCAAGGAGGUCAACGUAGCUGAGGGAGAGUGCCGCAGGGGGAAAAUGGUAGGAGAUGAGGUCAGAAGUUAGCAGGUCAGGUCCAGAGGGACUCGGAGACCAUUUAAGAACUUUGGCUCUUACUCUGCAUGGACAUAGGGUGCUGCUAAAGGGCUCUGAGCAGAGGAGUGACAUGAUCCAAAAUUGGGUUUUGGAAGGAAUCCCUCCGGUUGCUGGGCUGAGAAGAGACGGUCAGGAGUGAGGGUAACCUGAGAAAGAGGACUAGGAGGCAAUGGCAGUAAUCCAGGUGAGAGGUAUUUUUCAGAGAUGAAAUCAGCGACCUUGGUUCCCCAUGAGUUAACUUACCGAUGCUAGCUAGCCCAGACUGAAAUGACUUUAUACAUAUGCUAAAUAAAUCUAUUUAGAUAGAUACAGCUCUGCCAAUACAUUUCACCUCGAGAAAUGCUCGGGUAUGCUUUUUAAUUCUUACAUUUUGUGAGCAGGUGGUACAAUGAAUGGACACCAACUUCAAACAAACUCCCAUAAGAACCAUCAGGACUAACUUACCCGAAAGGAACAUUCAAAUUCACAUCAAUCAAUAAUAGCUAAUAAUGGCCUCCGUUAAUUUGUUUUAAUUUUGACCGAGUGAUAAUAUUGCCAUCUUUUUUUUUUUUUUUUAAACAAUCCUUGAUGGAACUGCUACCUCUGUUGAACUCUUGAGUGUAUCUCGUCCCAAAGAGAAUGAUCAACAAAAUCAGUCCUGGAUACAUGCUAUACAUUCCGUUAUACCUACUCAUAGCUCAUCUGUGACAUAGCUUCUGAAUUAAAAGCAAAGAAAAAAAAAACAGGAAGAGAGAGAAUAAAAUAUUUGCUCACAUCUGGGAAGAAUUCAACUAAUUUCUUUAGCUGACUAAGGUGAUACAUAUUUGUGUAGAACCCACAAUAUAUCCGGUUCUUCAGGAGCACAUGAAGGACUGACCUGCAUUUAAACAAUCCAUUAUGGGGGCGCCUGGGUGGCUCGGUCAGGGUGCAGUUAGCUGUGAGGUGACAAAUAAGGACACAACGCACACAGUAAUGGAUAUUAGUGGAUGGGACCAGGAGCCAGGGGACCAGAGAAUCACGGAAUCACUCUGAAGCUUCUUUCCUCAAAUCCGUACCACCUUUUGAGCCCACCUGCACCUCUCCCUGAAACACCAACAGCUGGCAUGUGGAAUCCACUGGAAAAUGAAAUUGGAAUUCAGUAAUUAUGUCUUUUAAAUUA